UAAGGAAUAUUGGUCAAUGGGCGAAAGCCUGAACCAGCCAUGCCGCGUGAAGGAUGAAGGUCCUCUGGAUUGUAAACUUCUUUUAUCUAUGAAUAAACGCCCGAUUUCUAUUGGGUUUGAAGGUAAUAGAUGAAUAAGCACCGGCUAACUCCGUGCCAGCAGCCGCGGUAAUACGGAGGGUGCAAGCGUUAUCCGGAUUCACUGGGUUUAAAGGGUGCGUAGGUUGAUAGGUAAGUCAGUGGUGAAAUACUCCGACUCAAUCGGAGAACUGCCGUUGAUACUAUCUAUCUUGAAUACGGUGGAGGCGGGCGGAAUGCGUCAUGUAGUGGUGAAAUACUUAGAUAUGACGCAGAACACCCAUUGCGAAGGCAGCUCGCUACACCGGCAUUGACACUGAGGCACGAAAGCGUGGGGAUCAAACAGGAUUAGAUACCCCGGUAGUCC
rnacentral:rRNA from 1 species